UCCAGGCACAUUUUAAAGGGGCACCCCCGAGGGGCGUGGCCGUCAGAGGGACGCGGUGCUCUCUGCCCCGCCCCUCUGUCCCCCUCCCCAGUCACUGAGAAUGCCACUGGCUAAGAGGACAGCGAGGCUCCGCCCUUUUUCUGAGAUGAAGCACAGCAUGCCAGCGGAGGUGCAAUCGGACUCCUGCUGGCAGAGCGGCCGCCGGGGGUGGAAGGAGGAAGGAGCGUGUGUUCGCGUGCGUGCGUGUGCGUGCGGACGCGCGGCCCGCAAGUCAACUGUUAUAACGGCCACCCAGGGAGGGCGGUUGGUGGCGGCCGCAAGUAGCGCUGCUUCGCUUUCCCUCCCCUCGGUUCUCGGGGCGGAAGGGAGGGGAGAGAGAAAGCUGUCCCCACGCGCUCUGCAAGGGGGCAGCUGUCUAGUCUUUUCACCCCGCUUUCACUACUGAAUAUUAUUGAGAAAUAUUGAUUUACUGCGUUUCAGCAAGCAAGUUCACAAAGCGGCUUACAGCGCCAAUCGAAUGUGCCCUGUCUGUGCCGAGAGUGGGCUCUCACCACCACCUAGAAACGGAACGCGGCGAGACACAAAGCUGGGAGGGAAAGAAGAAGGGACAGUACAAUUGUUACUCUCCCCUCCCGACCAUAGUAAGAGAGCCACCGCUUCAAAUAAAGAAGGUGCCCCCCCCCCACACACACACACCUCUGCCCAGUUAGUAGGAGUUGAGGGGGGGAAUAUUUGUGUGUGAUAUGAUGUCAGUUGCCUCCCAAAGUUAGUGAUUUAUUUGGUGGGCAGGCCAGGCUCCAGGGAAACCGAGGAGGUUUUGCCAAAAUACAGGCACGAGGACAAACCUUUCUGCAGAGCUCAGGGUCGCUAUAUCACAAGCAAGAGGAGAAAAGAAAAUGCCUUUCUGUGGGCAUUGCUUAUUACAAGCCACACAACUUAUGGUCGUCAUGGCGGAAUGACAGGACAGAUUUGCUUCUUAAGUUACGAAAGCCUUAAGAAACAAUGCAGUGAAUAAAAAGAUAUACUGUAGCACUGAGAUCUGAAAGGAAAUAUAACAAAGGAAAGAAGACAAACUGUUCCAUGUGAAAAAUUAUCUGUGAGCCCCAGUUGCAGUUUUUGUCAUAGCUAUCUUUACCAUGUAUGAGAUGGAACUACAAAAGUGCCAACUGGGCAUUAUUUGGAGCUAGCUGUGCACAUAGUUUGGAGGAGGGUAUGGAAUCUGUCCUAGAAUACCUUGCGGAGAAAUUGAUUGAAGGCAUUAAUUCUGCAGCCUUAUUGGCAGUUCCAGAAUAUAAGACCUAUAGCCCUAACAUCAUGUUUAUGCAAGACAACGGAGCGUAUGAUCAACACCCAUCUCCUGGCUUAUGAUCAACUGUUGACAGAAUUUCAAUGUGGUUUUGUUUAAACUGAUGGAUCCUUGCUGUGAUCCCAGUGUAUUCACACCACUGGGAUACGCACCUGCGCAAGAGACCAAUAGAGAAGAUUCCAAAAGCUUUGUGCAGUGCUCUGGACUCCGCCCACAGUACGCAUGCAUCCGUCAAUAUAGGCAGUCGGAGCACCACUCUCCUCAGUUUCUUUCCGACCAGUACGGAUGCCCCCUUGGUUGGGGUUUGCCACCUCAGCCCCUCAGAGACACGCUUAGCCCUGGAAAUACUUCUGCUUUCACAAAGCUCAUCAUCUCACCAUUACUCCACAAAGUGGCAACUUUAGACAAUUACUGCUGCGCAGGUGUGGAACAGAGUUCGAAAAUGCACAUGGUGGGGGGAGAUCCCGAUAGGGACUGUAGUGUAUGGGGCGGCCAAAGGAAAAACUUAACUUGCAUCCCCAGAACCAAUUUUUCCUCUGAACACACCUGCUCUCAAGCUACUAUUUGCCCCAGAAGUGGCUGUUUGCUGCGAAGAGCUGUUUCUGGGGCAGGGUGAUGUUAAGUGGGGAACACAGCACAAGGGCUGACCUCUCCCUUCUCACAGUGCCAGUUGGGAUCUCCCUUCACCUGGUGGUUGCUUUUUCUAGGAGGUAGUGCUUCCGAUCAUAAGAUGCCUUUUUAAAAAAAUCAAGGAAACAGUUCGGUUUUCGGAGCAGCAAACUCACUACAGAAGACAAAUUGCCCUCCUCUAGGUGUUCCCACUAAUCACCAGUGCCCUCUAGCUAAGAGUAGGUCACUCAUCCCACUUAUAUUCACUUGUGUUCCAUGUACUACCUUUAUCAAAUGUACUACCUGUUUGGUCUUUUGACUAAAUAUGUUAAUUCUUUUCCCCGUCUGUGUGUUCUCACUAUAUGUGCUUAUGUGUUUGGGCGACUGUUUCUUGCAUCUGAUGAAGUAGGCUUUGGCCAUGAAACUUGUGCCACAAUAAAUGUGUUUUCUUGCAA